ACAAAACCCAAUUAUUAACCUAAAUUAACUUCAUUUUCAAACAUAGAAUAUUAAAAUAUAUACAAAAUCAACGUCAUGCUCAUAUCCAACAACCUAGAAAUCAAAAUCAAUAAUUCUAAAAGUAAGCCUCACACCCUGCAUGCCACUUAAGCAAAUAUGAAUUUUCUUUUCUGUCCUUAUAUUUAAACACACAUGUUUCUCAUUCUCACAAUUUCCCUCAUCCCAUUCUUUUCCUUUUGAUUUCCACAUGUCCCUACUCUUCCCCCUCUUUCCCCUAUCUCCUCCUCUUUCCCCUUUCCUCUUCUCCUUCAUGUCACAAUCAUCGGUCUCAUUCUCAUUCACAUUCCAGCAAGAACAGAAGCUAGGGUGGGCAACGAAUAUCAAGGAUUUCGGCUCCUUUAACUUCAACAUUCCAGCGAGCAAGACCUGGAGAGAUUUUCGUUGGUGCCUUACACACGCAGGAAAACGAGAUGCACUACAAGAGAUGUUUUUGGGAAGCUCUUUUUCUGACAAGAGACGCGCAAAAGACAUUUUGGGAAGGCAUGAUUCAGUAGAAGAAAAGGCAUCACUGACUAGGAGCGGUUUCCUGGACAGGAGGCUAAGACGAAAGAUAAUUUAGGAAAGGAAGAAGACGACUUUUGACUUUAGCUUUUGAAGGUUUUACGGAAGCAUGAAAAUAAGCAACCUAUUCUAUGGACCAAUUGUCGGACGCAUACUGUAACACAUUUUAUUUUCAUUUGGUUCCUAGGCAGCAUGCCUAUAAAAAAAAUUGAAGGAAAACUGAAAAAAGACCCUUGAUCAUUCAGUUGAGAGAGCCAUAGCGUAGUGUAAUAUAAUAUUUUUUUUCUCUAAGUUUUUCUUUAGUUUUUCAGAGAACUCAGGUGAGGAGAGGGAGAUGGCAGCGCAGUUGUAGAGCCCCCUAGCCCAACUGUUACUGUCCAUCCUUCUUCCUCCACCUGUAGUCUUUUCUCCAGUUUAUUUUGUGAGAAUGAGAGAAGAGACCGAACACUUGCUAGAGAGUUGUAAACUGGUUUUCGGCCAACUCCAAAUUCUACUGUUCAACAUAGUUCUAGAGCCCCUUGGCGACACUAUAACUACCCAUCUCUCUUCUUCCA